rnacentral:rRNA from 1 species
AUUGAACGCUGGAGGCAUGCCUAACACAUGCAAGUCGCGCGGGCGGUAGCAAUACCGUUAGCGGCGGACGGGUGAGGAACACAUAGGAAUUUGCCUUUAGGUGGGGGAUAGCCCAGGGAAACUUGGAGUAAUACCGCAUGAUGUCGCGAGACCAAAGCAGGGGAUCGCAAGACCUUGCGCCUUUAGAGGAGCCUAUGUCUGAUUAGCUAGUUGGUAGGGUAAUGGCCUACCAAGGCGACGAUCAGUAACUGGUCUGAGAGGACGAUCAGUCACACUGGAACUGAGACACGGUCCAGACUCCUACGGGAGGCAGCAGUGGGGAAUAUUGGACAAUGGGCGCAAGCCUGAUCCAGCAAUGCCGCGUGUGUGAAGAAGGCCUUCGGGUUGUAAAGCACUUUAGGCCGGGAAGAAAAAAUCAGGGCUAAUAUCCUUGAUCUUGACGGUACCGGAAGAAUAAGCACCGGCUAACUCUGUGCCAGCAGCCGCGGUGAUACAGAGGGUGCGAGCGUUAAUCGGAUUUACUGGGCGUAAAGCGUGUGUAGGUGGUUGUUCAAGUCGGUUGUGAAAUCCCUGGGCUUAACCUGGGAACUGCUUCCGAGACUGAGCGACUAGAGUACGGUAGAGGGCGGUGGAAUUUCCGGUGUAGCGGUGAAAUGCGUAGAUAUCGGAAGGAACACCAAUGGCGAAGGCAGCCGCCUGGGCCUGUACUGACACUGAGACACGAAA